UAAUAAGAAUUUCAGCUUUGGGUG
rnacentral:piRNA from 1 species